GUGCCGAUGUCACAUGCUGAGCAAGAGGAAAUCACAAUUACAAUGUGAUGAAAGGUUGAAGGCUGCAAUCUCGGUUUUGUCCCUUGGGCUUCGCUGCAUACCUUUUGGGGUUAUAAAGUGAGCCUGGCAAAUGUUUGAGAAAAUGCCUCACUGACCCAGAAACGGCUGACAGAUUCCAAACGCUGCCUCUCUGGUCAUAUAUUUUGCCAAAGGAAAUCGACGGCGUUUUUGUGGACGUGAGCAUGCGCAUCGGAUUAUCUUACAGAAAGAACUAAUGAUUGCCAGGAUAAUGACUAGUGCUCGGACAAUGUGGAGACCAAGGCAAGUAAUGUGGGAGGACCACUGCAUCUAUUAUAUGAAGAUGAUGUGUUCUGUUAUGUACCUACUUGCUUGAUUUCUGACAUGUUUCUGAAUACUACGGCUAAUAUAUUAAGACAUAUCACAUGAGGAUAUUUAGUUUGCGGCAGAAUCUAAGUUCAUGGUAGUGAGUUGUUAUCAAAUUUGACCCUGAUUAAUUUUUUUGGAGAUCAUUUUCUGAUGUACAUCUUUUCUGUUGGGUAGUGCUUGAA